rnacentral:rRNA from 1 species
GACGAACGCUGGCGGCGUGCUUAACACAUGCAAGUCGAACGGAAAGGCCCCCUUGUGGAGUACUCGAGUGGCGAACGGGUGAGUAACACGUGAGUAACCUACCCUUGACUUUGGGAUAACUUCAGGAAACUGGGGCUAAUACCGGAUAGGAGCUCCUGCUGCAUGGUGGGGGUUGGAAAGUUUCGGCGGUUGGGGAUGGACUCGCGGCUUAUCAGCUUGUUGGUGGGGUAGUGGCUCACCAAGGCUUUGACGGGUAGCCGGCCUGAGAGGGUGACCGGCCACAUUGGGACUGAGAUACGGCCCAGACUCCUACGGGAGGCAGCAGUGGGGAAUAUUGCACAAUGGGCGGAAGCCUGAUGCAGCAACGCCGCGUGCGGGAUGACGGCCUUCGGGUUGUAAACCGCUUUCGCCUGUGACGAAGCGUGAGUGACGGUAAUGGGUAAAGAAGCACCGGCUAACUACGUG